UCCGGUUGAUCCUGCCAGAGGCCGCUGCUAUCCGGCUGGGACUAAGCCAUGGGAGCCAUGGGGCGCGGGCCCUUCGGGGUUCGCGCACCGGCGGACGGCUCAGUAACACGUGGCCAACCUGCCCUCGGGAGGGGGAUAACCCCGGGAAACUGGGGCUAAACCCCCAUAGGGGAUGGGUGGUGGAAUUCCCCCAUCCCCGAAAGUGUGCGGUUGCCGUAAGGCGCCGCACAGCCCGAGGAUGGGGCUGCGGCGGAUUAGGUAGUUGGCGGGGUAACGGCCCGCCAAGCCGAAGAUCCGUACGGGCCAUGAGAGUGGGAGCCCGGAGAUGGCCCCUGAGACAAGGGGCCAGGCCCUACGGGGCGCACCAGGCGCGAAACCUCCGCAAUGCGGGAAACCGCGACGGGGUCAGCCGGAGUGCCCGCGCAUCGCGCGGGCUGUCGGGGAGCCUAAACAGCUCCCCAUAGCAAGGGCCGGGCAAGGCCGGUGGCAGCCGCCGCGGUAAUACCGGCGGCCCGAGUGGCGGCCACUAUUAUUGGGCCUAAAGCGUCCGUAGCCGGGCGGGUAAGUCCCCCGGGAAAUCUGGCGGCUU
rnacentral:rRNA from 1 species